UACGGGGGGGGCAAGCGUUGUUCGGAAUUACUGGGCGUAAAGGGCUCGUAGGCGGCCAACUAAGUCAGACGUGAAAUCCCUCGGCUUAACCGAGGAACUGCGUCUGAUACUGGAUGGCUUGAGUUUGGGAGAGGAAUGCGGAAUUCCAGGUGUAGCGGUGAAAUGCGUAGAUAUCUGGAGGAACACCGGUGGCGAAGGCGGCAUUCUGGACCAAUACUGACGCUGAGGAGCGAAAGCCAGGGGAGCAAACGGG
rnacentral:rRNA from 1 species